UUCUCUGAACUCCCAUCUCUCCACCCAGAGUCAGAGUCUAGAAGACACAGACGCCCCAUUCCUGUUGUGGCCCUGCCAUGGGUCCCCGGCUGCUCUACUGUAUGGCCUUUUGUCUCCUUGGGGCAGGUCACACGGGUGCCAGGGUCAUCCAGAGCCCAAGAUACCAGGUUACCGGGAUCGGAAAACAAGCGUCUCUGAGCUGUUCUCAGAAUCUGAAUCAUGAUGCCAUGUACUGGUACCAACAGAAGCCGAACCAAGCCCCAAAGCUGCUGCUCUACUACUAUGAUUCAAACCUUUACACCGAAAAAGACACCUCUGAUAACUUCAAAGCCAGCCGAACUAACUCUUCUUUCUGUUCCCUUGACAUCCUCUUGGCUGGCUUCGAGGACACAGCAGUGUAUCUCUGUGCCAGCAGCAAAGACACAGAGCUAGGAUCCAAGAUCCUUCGACAGACCACCCUCCCACCCUACAGCAAUGGUAGGAUGUGGGUUUAUGGCUGUCGCCAUCUCAUCUCUACAUAG